UCAGGAUGAACGCUAGCGGCAGGCUUAACACAUGCAAGUCGAGGGGCAGCGGGAUGUAGCAAUACAUUGCCGGCGACCGGCGGAUGGGUGCGUAACGCGUAUGCAACCUACCUUAUACAGGGGAAUAACCUUUCGAAAGGGAGACUAACACCCCAUGGUAUUGAUUUAAGGCAUCUUAGAUUAAUUAAAUAUUUAUAGGUAUAAGAUGGGCAUGCGUAUGAUUAGCUAGUUGGUAAGGUAACGGCUUACCAAGGCGACGAUCAUUAGGGGUUCUGAGAGGAAGGUCCCCCCACACUGGUACUGAGACACGGACCAGACUCCUACGGGAGGCAGCAGUGAGGAAUAUUGGUCAAUGGGCGCAAGCCUGAACCAGCCAUGCCGCGUGCAGGAAAGACGGCCUUAUGGGUUGUAAACUGCUUUUACAUAAGACUAACCGUAUAUUUGCGAAUAUACCUGAAUGUAUUAUGAGAAUAAGGAUCGGCUAACUCCGUGCCAGCAGCCGC
rnacentral:rRNA from 1 species